rnacentral:rRNA from 1 species
GAUGAACGCUGGCGGCGUGCCUAAUACAUGCAAGUCGAGCGAACGGACGAGAAGCUUGCUUCUCUGAUGUUAGCGGCGGACGGGUGAGUAACACGUGGAUAACCUACCUAUAAGACUGGGAUAACUUCGGGAAACCGGAGCUAAUACCAGAUGAUAUUUUGAACCGCAUGGUUCAAAAGUGAAAGACGGUCUUGCUGUCACUUAUAGAUGGAUCCGCGCUGCAUUAGCUAGUUGGUAAGGUAACGGCUUACCAAGGCAACGAUGCAUAGCCGACCUGAGAGGGUGAUCGGCCACACUGGAACUGAGACACGGUCCAGACUCCUACGGGAGGCAGCAGUAGGGAAUCUUCCGCAAUGGGCGAAAGCCUGACGGAGCAACGCCGCGUGAGUGAUGAAGGUCUUCGGAUCGUAAAACUCUGUUAUUAGGGAAGAACAUAUGUGUAAGUAACUGUGCACAUCUUGACGGUACCUAAUCAGAAAGCCACGGCUAACUACGUG